rnacentral:rRNA from 1 species
GAUGAACGCUAGCGGGAGGCUUAACACAUGCAAGUCGAGGGGCAGCAUAAGGUAGCAAUACUUUGAUGGCGACCGGCGCACGGGUGAGUAACACGUAUGUAACCUACCCUGUACAGGGGGAUAGCCCGGAGAAAUUCGGAUUAAUACCCCAUAAAGAUAUUUAGAGGCAUCUUUUAAUAUUUAAAGCUUCGGCGGUACGGGAUGGGCAUGCGCAACAUUAGCUAGUUGGUAGGGUAACGGCCUACCAAGGCUACGAUGUUUAGGGGACCUGAGAAGGUGAUCCCCCACACUGGUACUGAGACACGGACCAGACUCCUACAGGAGGCAGCAGUGAGGAAUAUUGGUCAAUGGGCGUAAGCCUGAACCAGCCAUCCCGCGUGCAGGAAGACGGCGCUAUGCGUUGUAAACUGCUUUUCCGGGGGAAGAAAACCCGCUACGAGUAGCGGCUUGCCGGUACCCUGGGAAUAAGCAUCGGCUAACUCCGUGCCAGCCGCCGCAGUAAGAC